CCAAAAGAACUGAACGCCUCAGGUGUCGGAAAGGCCGUGGGGGAGGCAAACAGAGAUUUAGAUACCCCUCGGUAGGUCCCGCGCCCGUAAACCGAAUGUCGGACUUGGAGGGUUUGUGCCCCCUGAGGGGGGUGGGCUUUCCCGGGAGGUAUACGCGUUAAGUUUGACUCGCCCUGGGGGAGUAGCGGCCGCCAAGGUUAAAACUCAAAUGAAUUUGACCGGGGGCCCGCUCAAGCGGUGGAGCAUGUGGUUUAAUUCGAUGCAACGCGAAGAACCUUACCUACCUUUGGCAUCCAGAGAACGUUCCAGAGAUGGAUUGGUGCCUUCGGGAACUCUCAGACAGGUGCUGCAUGGCCGUCGUCAGCUCGUGUUGUGAAAUGUUGGGUUAAGUCCCGCAACGAGCGCAACCCUUAUCCUUUGUUGCCAGCGGUUAGGCCGGGAACUCAAAGGAGACUCCCAGUGAUAAACUGGAGGAAGGUGGGGAUGACGUCACGUCAUCAUGGCCCUUACGAGUUGGCCUACACACGUCCUGCAAUGGCGCAUACAAAGAUAAGCGUCCUGGCGAGACCAAGCGC
rnacentral:rRNA from 1 species